rnacentral:lncRNA from 1 species
AUUAGAACAACACUACUGAUGGGAAAGGGCCACCUCAGGAUCAAGAAUCAUGUAUAACAACAAGUUGGUGUUGGAGUAAAUUAAGAGACUCAUAAAAGACCAACUGAGGUGGAAAAAUGGUCUUGCUUAGAGAACCCGUGCAUUGAAUACACAUUUCAGCAGCAGGAGAUGCAUUAGAUGGCAUGGUAAUUGUAUCCUAACGAACAAAUUCAUCCACUCAAAUGCAUCACAAAGAGUAGAAAUAAAGAUCUUUGGUAAACAUAUAAAAAUCCUAUAACAUUUUGGAUAUGGGAAGAUUAGAACAACACUACUGAUGGAAAAAGGCCACCUCAGGAUCAAGAAUCAUGUUUAACAACAAGUUGGUGUUGGAGCAAAUUAGGAGACUCAUAAAAGACCAACUGAGGUGGAAAAAUGGUCUUGCUUAGAGAACCCGUGCAUUGAUUACACAUUUCAGCAGCAGGAGAUGCAUUAGAUGGCAUGGUAAUUGUAUCCUAACGAACAAAUUCAUCCACUCAAAUGCAUCACAAAGAGUAGAAAUAAAGAUCUUUGGUAAACAUAUAAAAAUCCUAUAACAUUUUGGAUAUGGGAAGAUUAGAACAACACUACUGAUGGGAAAGGGCCACCUCAGGAUCAAGAAUCAUGUUUAACAACAAGUUGGUGUUGGAGCAAAUUAGGAGACUCAUAAAAGACCAACUGAGGUGGAAAAAUGGUCUUGCUUAGAGAAC